rnacentral:rRNA from 1 species
AUUGAACGCUGGCGGCAGGCCUAACACAUGCAAGUCGAACGGUAACAGGAAGAAGCUUGCUUCUUUGCUGACGAGUGGCGGACGGGUGAGUAAUGUCUGGGAAACUGCCUGAUGGAGGGGGAGAACUACUGGAAACGGUAGCUAAUACAGCAUAAUGUCGCAAGACCAAAGAGGGGGACCUUCGGGCCUCUUGCCAUCGGGUGUGCCCAGAUGGGAUUAGCUAGUGGGUGGGGUAACGGCUCACCUAGGCGACGAUCCCUAGCUGGUCUGAGAGGAUGAGCAGCCACACUGGAACUGAGACACGGUCCAGACUCCUACGGGAGGCAGCAGUGGGGAAUAUUGCACAAUGGGCGCAAGCCUGAUGCAGCUAUGCCGCGUGUAUGAAGAAGGCCUUCGGGUUGUAAAGUACUUUCAGCGGGGAGGAAGGGAGUAAAGUUAAUACCUUUGCUCAUUGACGUUACCCGCAGAAGAAGCACCGGCUAACUCCGUG